GCUCCACACUGGGCAUGGAGCCUGUUUAAGAUUCUCUCACUCCCUCUUCCUCUGCUUCUGCCCCUUACCAAAUCACGCAUCUUUGGACACCUGCUCUAUAAAUACAUAAAUAAAUAGAUAGAUAAAUAAAUAAAUAAAAUAAAUGACCCUCCAUAUAUUUAUAUAUUAAAAAUACACUACUGAGUCAAAAAGAAAUCAAAGUAACAAUUGAAAAUGCUACCCAGAACUGAAAAAAUAAUUUACAUAUCCAAUUACUAGGAUUAAAUUUAUGUGGUAUACAGAAAGAUUUUUGUAGCAUAAAAACCAAUAUGAGAAAGAAGAAAGGGUAUAAUUUAUUGAUGUAUAUUUUUAAAAAUACAGACAAGACAGUCUUAUUUUAGAUAUAAAUUGUGUUAUAUUCCUAUCCUGGUAUAUGUUGCAAUGGACCAAAAUUGAAAUAAACCACAUGACUUUCAUUAAUACAGUGGUAGUUAACCUGUAAGUCAGAGAAUACAUACAUAAUGUAUUAAUAUAACACAUGUCAAAUGCUUGCUUAGGACUACCUGUGUGUAAUAUUAUUUUUAAAAAGAGAAUGAGUGAAUGAUAAAUACAAAACUCUUCAUUAUAGUUACCUCUAAGAGGAACAAGGAGAAUGUGAAGGAGGAGGGGCACACAGGUAAAAGAUACUUUUAAUUCCUCAUUUCUGUUAUUUUGAAAAAAAGUUAUACAAAUAUGACAUGGAUGCAUUACCUUUGUCAAAUGAUUCAAGCACUGCAUUGAAAGUAGGUUAUAAAGUGUAAGUCUCUUAACUUCCCUCUUAGCACUAAACUUUUCUGUGACCAUGCUUUUUAGACAUUUUUCUAUUCAUUAAAAAUGAAUUUAAACUAUUACCUAUGUAUAUAUAAGCAUAUAGUUGUUUUAUUACAUAAAUUAUAUGGAAGCAUUUAUACUGUCCUAUUAACCAUAUGUCUUAUAGAUCUUUUAUAUCAGCACUGAAAGUUUGGUUCUCCUUUUUCCUAAAUAGUUACAUAGCAGUCCAAAAUAUAGAUAAGACAAAUAUUUUAAAGUAACUCCUUCUUGAAAGAUACGUAGGUAUUUUUUACCGAGAUUUCAUUUUUAUAGAUACUAAAUCAAAGAAUACUGUUUAUUACACAAAUUUUUACACAUACACAUUUUUAAGAGGAGAAUAUCAGAAUUUAGAUUGUAUCUUAUUGCAUAAUCAUAUAAUAACAUUUCAGAAUCAUUCUCAAGGGCAUCUGCUUCUCCUUCAAUCAACGAGCUCUGAAUCUGAUGGUACAGACAUGGAAACUAAGUUAGGUAUCACUGUUUUCUACUGUAGAGCUGAUGUUCAUCUUUUUCUCACCAGGUCUUGUGAUUUCCUAAGAAUAUCAUGUCUCUGAGCCAUUACCACAGAUCUUUGUGGGCUAAGGACUCAUAUCUGGGAAGCCAUGAACAGGGCAGCUGUCUGUUCAUCUUCUAACACAAGUUGUUUCUUAGAGGACAGCCCUUUAAAUGAGAAACCUUCCUUUAAGUAUAAUUGCUUAUUAUAAAUGCAACUAUCAAAGAGGGGAGAACAAAGAUAAUUACUACAAUAUACCAGGUGUAUUUUAAAGGAUUGAUUCUUCAUCUCCCGUCCUCACUUCAGACCAGUCUAAUUUGAUUUAUUCCCUUCGACUACUUGAUAGUGCUGUGGCCUGGCACUCUCACUUUCCAUAUUGCCAGAUGUACAGUGGUCACUUGACUACCCUCAUAUCACUCUGCCAGUUAGCACUGUGCAAAAUAUUGACCAGUCCAUUCCUGGGGUGGAAUGGAGGGUAUUUUUUUUCUCCAGCCUCAUUUUCUGCUAUUACUCAAUCUCCUUAAGUCUUAUCCUAUGUUCCACCUAUAAAUGAAGACUGUCUGCAGCACUGGUCCUGGACCUCCUUUUCUCCUCUACUUUUUCUCUGAAGCAAUCUAAUUCAUCCCAUUAUUUAAAUGGCAUCUAUCUACCAAGGUCUUUCAAAUAUUAAAAUUUGGGUCAUCAAUUUAUGAUGAUGAAAAUACUAUUACAAAAAUAUUCCCCCAUAUUCAACAUAUUCAUUUAGUUGUGGAAUGCUGAAUUUUAAAUGUAGGUUAAUUUUAUUGCAAUUGUUGAUGGAUUAGCUUUAAUUGUAAAGUAAGUUUUUCUUUAACCUACAUACUAUGAGAAUAAUAAGUUUCCAUAAUUUUAGCAUAUCUUUCAUUUUGGAGAUGUGUCUAGUGACAAAUCCGUUUACAGCUGUUUAAAACAAUCUCAAAUUUAUUGAAAGGAUAAAUAUGUCAUCAAUAGAAAGCAAGGUUUUUCCUCAUUAAAAUAGAACAGAAUUAUUUUUUAAAAUGUGUUGUUUUUCUUCUUUUUUUCUCUUUAUCACUAUUUCACACUCUCAGGCAAUCUGCAGAGGCUUUAGGGGUGCUUUGGCAUGAUUAAAUUUAUACCAUAUUAAAGUGUAGCUUGAUUAGUAAAAUUGAAUAAAAUGAGAUUAUUAAUUAAAGAUGGAAUUUGUUCUACAAAUUUCAUAAAAAAUAAAGCAGUAUCUUUCUGUUAUUAUUACUGUGCCUGCUUACCACAUGUCAUUAGGUCUUUAUUUAAGAAUACUAAUUUUGUUACCACUGAGCUAAUGAGUUCUCCCAUGCAAAUUAAAAUAUGUGGUUUUCAGUAUCUUAUCUUUCACCACUGUCAGGAAGAGUUUUUAUAAUAUUUGACAUUUCAGUGAAUUUUAGCAAGUGUAGGGAUACUUAGAAUUACUGAACCAUCGUUUUCUUUAUCACAGGAAAUCAGAAAUACAUUUUGUUUUUAUUCUAUUCUAUUUCAUCCUGGUUUGAUACAGUGAAUAAAAAAGAGAACUUCCAGACAGUUUUAAAGACUUUAUAAAAAAUGUAAAGGGGUCUAUUUAUUUUAUUAGAAAUUUCAUUUCCCAGUUGCUUGGCUAAUCCUUUCUCUAUUUGCUAUUUUAUUGUUCUUAUCUUUGGUAAGGUUUUUUUGUUUUGUUUUGUUUUUAUUUUUAAAAAACAAAAUCAAUACUCAUGCAAUAGUAUUAAAUAAAUCACAUGCUCAACAAUGAAAUACAGGGGUACCUGGGUGGCCUAGUCAGUUAAGCAUCUGAUUUCAGUGAGGUCAUGAUCUUGCAGUUCUUGGGUUCCAGCCCUUCAUCAGGCUCUGCACUGUGGGGAGCCUGCUUGGGAUUGUCUCUCUCUCUCCCCGCCCCCCACCUCUCUCUCUGCCCCUCUCCCACUUGCUCUCUCUCUCAAAAUAAAUAGACUUAUUUUUUCUAAAAGAAAACAAUGAAAUACAAAUCAACAACAUCCCUGUGUGUAAAAUACUUCUAGAGAACACUGUGUGGCAAAGAUGCUUACUAUAUGAAUAAAAGGGAAGUGUUCCAAGGUGUGCUAAAUGAUGAUUCUAUCAAACUACCCUAGGAUAUAGGUCUUUAGUAUCUGUGUUUUCUCUUAAUGUGUUUGCCAAACUGCCAUUCUUAAUCAGAAGGGCUUAUUACUCCCCAAAUAAUUAAUAAUAAAGUAACUUUAACUAGAAGAAGACAAGGUUCCCAAUUUGGGAACAUUUUGCCCCAGGCCUUUUCUUUAAAGAUGAUAGAUAGAUAGAUAGAUAGAUAGAACACGAGAUUGGUAGAUUAUCCUAAAAAGUUUAGCAGCACAAAGCUACUUUUUAGGACUAAAUUGAAAAAAAUAUUGUCUGAUUUCUAUGAUACCUUUAACAGCUUCUUUAUGGCAGGUUUUCAGUCUGGUCAAGGUUGUUCUGUGGAAUUGUUCACCUGAACUUUGCAUAAUUGAAAGAUGCUGUUGUUUCUUUUGGCCUGCCUAUGGGUUUAGACAGCUGUUUCUCCAACAGGCAGUAAACUGGUAAACAAAAACACAGCGCUUUCUGGACAGCUGUAUAAAGGCAUAAGAAAGAAUUUAUUAAGCUUUUACUGUCAAUAUGAUAACUGCUUAGCCUAUUUUUUUGCAUAAAUUCUGUUCGGUAGCAUUUCUGUGGAUAAUUGUUUCGUUUAUUUGCUACAAUAAAAAUAUUUUAAUCUACAUGAUCAUAAUGAUGAAAAUAAAUAUAUAACACUUAUCUUUCUUUUUCAUCAUACUGUCAUUUAUCUAAUUUGAUACUGCUGAAAUAACUGGAGGAAGCAGGUGUAACUAAACAGGAAUGAAAGCAAUAAUAUUGGAGUUUUACUCUAUGCCGAUUUGAGCUUUUCAAAAGGGCCAUUAAAUAUGUCUCAGUGCUCAUACCAUUUGGUUUUGCAAAAACUGGCACUGAUGACAACUAGACACAUCAUCAAGUCAACAAAAAUAAGUGGUAAAUAAUAGAACGUAGUGCGAAUUCUUAUUUAUCUAAAAAAUAAGUUCACUCCAGGAGUGCCUGAGUGACUCAGUC